ensembl:snRNA U6 U6 spliceosomal RNA
GGGCUUGCUUCGUCAGCACAUUUACUAAAACUGGCACAAUACAGAGAAAAUUAGCAUGGCCCCUGCUCAAGGAUGACAUGCAAAUUUUUGAAGUGUCUGUAUUUUUA